GGCUGACACUCAGGUUUUAAGGCAAAGUCUCACAGCCAAGGAAGGAGAGUUGGGAGGCCUUGGGCAGCAAAGAAGAGAGCACCCAUGGCUCCUGGUGAUGUCAGCAAGAGGACAUUGAUUAUCUCACAGACUAAGAAGUCCCAAGGCAGAAUGGAUCCAAACUUGGUUAACUCAGCAACUCAUGACAUCAAAACCUAGGUCCUUUCCAUCUUUCCUCUCUGCCACCCUCCGGGUGUGCACCUGGUCUUUGGGUUUAGAUACCUCAGGGUUCUUCAAUGGCCACAGCGACUCCACGGUCCCACUCAGAAGAGGCAAGACAGGCAGGAGAAUCCUUUCCCAGAUUCUCCCAUCACCUCUCCUUGGCCAAAACCAAGUCAUGUGCCCACUCGUCACCAAGAAGAGGAACCAGAAGAGGAACGGAACUACCAGGGUUGGCAGAGCCUGGUCAGCGUUCGUGGCGGAGCUGGGAGUGUUGUGUUCUGUUUGUCUCCACUCCCCACCCCCUGAAAGGUGGAUAUCCAGAUGAAGUUGGGAUUCUGUGAGAAGAUUCCUAGUAAUUUUGUCUUCAGAACUGGGUUUGUAAAUGAAGUCCGACAAGACAACGGAGCGCGCGCAUGAGGAGAGGAGAUGCGCACAACACAUCUGCCGGUCCCUGCCUCCUCGUUCACAUAUCUCAUUUAGGAUGUCCUGUGGCACAGAGUUUCAGUGCACCUGUGAUGCGUGAUAGUUCACUGAGUCUCAAAGCCGCUGGACAGUGAUCCCAGUACUGGGGCCAGGCCAGUCCUGCCACUUUGCCGCCAAGACCAGCAAGGAUCCAGAGAAUCACACAUGGUCCCCUUUCUCUUCUCCCGCCAAACAACAUGCAGCCUCUUUAACCACCCUGGGAUGGAGAAUGAGCGUUUACCUCUAGAGGACAAGGUGUUUAAGGGGGAAAAUUUAAACCAGCCCUAGAAAAGAAUUGAAUUUCUAAUAACUGAAGUAUUUAAAUUAAAAUGAGAACAUUUAAAUUGGAAGAGACUCCGAUAUUGUUAAUUGCCAAGUAGGGGGUGCCUGAAAAAGCUCAGACCCGCUUGAUAUUGCACAUCUGAGUGGAGUGUGAGUGAAUUUGCGACCCUGCUAUGUCUUUAUUCCUUGCCGCUCCUUACCAUUCUAUCAAGUGUACACAUGUCAUCCUCCUUCAAGUCAAAGCAGAUCUGGUGUUUGGAAGUGUCCUCCGGGAAGCCCAGGGGCACGAGAAACUUUCUUUAAUGUCCCAAAAAGGCAAUAGCAAUUUGAAGUUUGCAAGAUAUCCUCCUGAGAAGUCCUCGAUGCUCACAUCACUUGAAUUAAAAUCAAAGCUGCAAGAAAGACUAGCUGAGCCCCACUGUGCUUCAUGUGAAAGUGGAGGUCAGCAUUCUUUUUGGGGGGAGGAGAGGGUUGCCAAC